rnacentral:lncRNA from 1 species
CCACCAGGGAAGCCCAAGAAAAUCAGCAAGGAUAUUCAAUUGAACAACACCAUAUUUUGUCGCUAUCUAACUGACAAAAAUGUUGAAUAGAAUAUUCUUCCUAACAAUGUAAUAUACACUCUUUUCAAGAAUAUACAUUCAUGGAAUAUUCUCCAAGACAAACCACAUCCUAAGUCACAAAACAGGUCUUAAACAUGAGAGAAUUUAAAUCACAUGGCUAUUUUUUUGGCCAAAAAUAGAAUAAAACUGGAAAUCAAGAACAGAAAACCAAUAGGAAGAUCUUCAAACAUGUGAAAAUGAAAGAUCUUCUAAAUCCUCCCCUAAGACUCUUUGCUUACAUCACUUCAGUAAAUUGUUGAUAAUAAAAACUGUCCUGUCCAUCACUUACCCAUGUAUUUGUCUUUCAAGAUCUAAGGGAAAGAAGUAAAAUAAAUGAAAGCAUGGAAAAGUGAAAUUACAUCUCCAAUUUGAAAACCUUAUUCUGACCCUCUCAUUUUAUGGAAAUUGGAGGCUACUUAUGAACCCCCAGAGCUUUAGCCUAUGCCUGAGUUAUGCCUGCAAUUCAUAAGUAAUGUAGGAUCUUCAACUUAUUCAACUGAGACUUUAGGCAUCAAAGGUAAACCUGCCCUCUUCCUUGGCUAUCUACUACUUCUUGAUGACAUACAACUUCAAGGUGCAUAAGUAAGAGAGAAAUGGGUCCAAUGGGCAGCAGUGUGAUGAUCUGCAAGCAAGUGUAAUUUUAUCGGAAAAUGGCAUCUUGCCCUUUUUCAGAGUCAAGGAGUAAUGCAUGAAUCUAGCAGAAAUGAUUCACUCUUACCCCUUGAAGGACUGGGGCCUGGUUAGUCAAGACUUCAGUCUGUUUCAUUCAAAGCUAAGGACCUCUAAGUGACUUUAAUCAAAACGCUGAUGGCCAGAAAAAGUGCAGACAACAAUGCCCUUUUCACUCAGGUCUCAGAACUCAAGGAGAGGAGCCUCAGAAAACAAGACUGCGGUGGUUACAGGGGCAGGACUUGAAUUGUUUUGACAACUGCAGGGCAGGUAGGACUUGAAUUGCUCAUUCCUGCCUAGACUGAGAGGGUCUAAGCCUCUAACUUUGGCUUCUCUAAUCAGGCUUCAUGUACCAUUGGCUCCUGUGUGGAAGACAGCUACCUGGUUGUCGCUAAUGGUUAUGUUUUGAUAGAAAACUUAGUUCCCUUCUGUUGUUUAAUCACCUUCAAUGACUCCUGAUACCCUUGGAAUAUAGUUGAAAUUACGUCCUG